AAAUUCCAAGGCCCAGACAGAAAGUAAUCUGUACUAUUGAAAGUUUGUACCUGUUGGGCACUUGUUGGAAAGCUGGGAAAAUUGUGUUCUCCAGUGCCAUACAGAACUACCAUUCCACAAAUUUACUAAGUCAAAUCAUUUCUUCUGAAGAGGCAAGAAUUGAGGUUGCUGCAGACUUGUAUGACUUUGCCACCGGUAACUUGGAUACCUUCCACCAGUAACAUUUAAGGCACAUAACUGGGUAUUCAUAGUACUCGGGGGCCUUGCCAUUGUGUGAUUAAGACCACAGACUGUGAUGCUGCACUGCCCAUCUACCACACUGAAAAGCUGUCUGGACUUCUGCAAGUUUCUUAACCUCUCUGUACCUCAGACUCCUCAUCUGUACAAAAAAAGAAAUUAUAUAUGUAUAUAUAUACAGUGGUCACCUCACAGGAUUUUUUUGAAGAAUAAAAAAUUUUAAAUAAAUAAAACACUUAAUACAUGAAACACGACUGCAUUAUUUUUACUCAUUAAUUUUAAAUUGCAAGAGAGAAAAGGAGAAAUGAUUAUCAAGCAUUAUUUGUUCCUAUGAGGAUAAGUGGGAUUUUGAUAUAAGCAAAAC
rnacentral:lncRNA from 1 species